UAACCAUGGUUUGGACAAUGAUUUAAUAAAUCUUUGAUGCACUCCCAAGCUUCAUAUAAUGUUUCAUUGUCCUUCUGGGUGAAAGUUGAGAUUUGCCGUUUAAGACC